UACAGAGGGGGCAAGCGUUGUUCGGAAUUACUGGGCGUAAAGGGUGCGUAGGCGGCGGGGCAAGUCUGAUGUGAAAUCCCGGGGCUCAACCCCGGAACUGCAUUGGAUACUGCCUUGCUAGAGUACUGGAGAGGGAACUGGAAUUUACGGUGUAGCAGUGAAAUGCGUAGAGAUCGUAAGGAAGGCCAGUGGCGAAGGCGAGUUCCUGGACAGUGACUGACGCUGAGGCACGAAGGCCAGGGGAGCAAACGGG
rnacentral:rRNA from 1 species